GACGAACGCUGGCGGCGUGCUUAACACAUGCAAGUCGAACGGAAAGGCCCUGCUUUUGUGGGGUGCUCGAGUGGCGAACGGGUGCGUAACACGUGAGUAACCUGCCCUUGACUUUGGGAUAACUUCAGGAAACUGGGGCUAAUACCGGAUAGGAGCUCCUGCUGCAUGGUGGGGGUUGGAAAGUUUCGGCGGUGGGGGAUGGGCUCGCGGCUUAUCAGCUUGUUGGUGGGGGAGUGGCUUACCAAGGCUUUGACGGGUAGCCGGCCUGAGAGGGUGACCGGCAACAUUGGGACUGAGAUACGGCCCAGACUCCUACGGGAGGCAGCAGUAGGGAAGAUUGCACGAUGGGCGGAAGCCUGAUGCAGCAACGCCGCGUGCGGGAUGACGGCCUUCGGGUUGUAAACCGCUUUCGCCUGUGACGAAGCGUGAGUGACGGUAAUGGGUAAAGAAGCACCGGCUAACUACGUG
rnacentral:rRNA from 1 species